UACGGAGGGGGGCGAGCGUUGUUCGGAAUCGAUUGGGCGUAAAGAGCGUGAUGAGCGGCUAUUUAAGUCCUGCGUGAAAUCCUGCGGCUCAACCGCAGACGGUCGUGGGAAACUGGAUGGCUAGAGUGCGGGAGAGGAGAGUGGAAUUCCCGGUGUAGCGGUGAAAUGCGCAGAUAUCGGGAAGAACACCCGUGGCGAAGGCGGCUCUCUGGAACGCAACUGACGCUGAGACGCGAAAGCGUGGGGAGCAAACAGG
rnacentral:rRNA from 1 species